CUUACAAGAACUGGUAGCCUGAAGACAGUAUUAAUAAACUGUCUAUGAAGGUUCCUAACUUAUAAAACGCUUUUAUCAAUAAAAAAUACCUCAACAAGGUAAUUAUUUUUUUAAAUCUGAUCGUUCGGUGGGCGUAGUGAAAAAUGUUAUAUAGGAAUAUUAUUAAAUCGGUUUUUAUAAAAUCUUUUAAAAUAAACGUCACACUAUCAGCCGAUUCUCCCGACUUGGACCGCAUAAUAUUUGAUAACGAAGUUCUUGUGUAUGCGAAAAAAAAAUCACUGAACAUGUACUGCUUGUAGAACUAAUAAUUGUAACUAUAUAUUUAAUAAUUUAAUAAUUGUAUAAGAAAAUAAAUCCAGACGCUUCUAUCAUAUUUGUAAAUGAUAUUUCAUACUUCAAUAUAUUGCUUAAAUUCUCACAAAACACCAAAAUGUUAGAUUUUGUCCUAGAGGCGUAUUAACGUAACGAUGGAAUGACCUUCUAAAAAUACCGCUUGUACCGCCUUCAUAUGAUCAAGGUAGAUUGAUUUUUAAUUAAUGAAAACCACAUAAUUACUUUCUUAUCGUAAUAUUAAUUGCACGACGCUUUCCGCGAGGAUAUGUUUUAUUAUUACAUGUUUCGAGAUGAACUAUAUGCAAAUGUUCACGUUUAUAUUAUUACUAAACACUGUUCGGAGCGUACAGAGGUUGCCGAAGACUAUGAAAUAUGGACGUAAUAGAGUUAAAAAUAUAAAGGGAAACUUUUAUUCGCCGUUGCAGAUAAGAAAUGAGAAGAUUUAUGCGUCGUCGAUCGAAAACUAUGCGUUUAGGCGAUCCAAGAUAAUGAACAACUUAAAUGAUAAUAAUGUAAUAUAUCUGAUCAAACCAAAAGAGACUGUGGACAGAAAAAUAAAUGAAUUGCUUAAUAAUAUUGUGGAUUAUAAAUAUGAAGAGAAAAAACAGCUCCGUAGUGACGACGGUUUGAGAAACUCAAUUUUGAAAGCGCUCAGGACGCUAGAGGGACGCGCCCCAAAAAAUACAUACGAUUUCUCUGAACUGGUCGCAUGAAAUAAAACAAAUGUUUAUCAUAAUUUAUUUAUUAUAUAAAAUAAGCCCUUUCAACAAAAUUAACAUAUAAAUAUAAAAAUUAUAACCCUGAUAAAUAACCUCAAUCUUAACAGAUUUUUUUUUUAUUUUAUUUCUGAACAUUACCCGCCCGCCAUUUUGUUUAUUUGACAGUACUUUGACAACUCGUGUUAAGCUUCUAAUAUUUUUAUUUUUUCUAGCGUUUUUAUGAACUUGUCAUUAUAAAAUCUUAUAAAACAUUACAUAAUACCGCCGGGCUCUAAAUAUACUCAAACAAAAAUCAGGUUACGUCAGCCAGGAACCUAACAUAGGCACGGAUACAUCACCUAACCCACCCCCGCGAUCUAAAUGACUGUAACACUAUACAGCUCUCAAACUCGGGAUAAAAUUGUAACCUUAGACCUCAUUG